rnacentral:rRNA from 1 species
UAUAGCAGCCAUAUCACCCUGCAGCCCAAGACUGGUUGCCCACUGAAGCUAAGCAAGGUUGAGCCUGUUCAGUACCUGGAUGGGAGACCUCCUGAGAAAACUAGGUUGCUGCUGGAA